AUCGGAAUCUGCCCGGUUGUGGGGGAUAACGUAGGGAAACUUACGCUAAUACCGCAUACGAUCGAGAGAUGAAAGCGGGGGACCGUAAGGCCUCGCGCAGUCGGAUGAGCCGAUGUCGGAUUAGCUAGUUGGCGGGGUAAAAGCCCACCAAGGCGACGAUCCGUAGCUGGUCUGAGAGGAUGAUCAGCCACACUGGGACUGAGACACGGCCCAGACUCCUACGGGAGGCAGCAGUGGGGAAUAUUGGACAAUGGGGGCAACCCUGAUCCAGCAAUGCCGCGUGUGUGAAGAAGGCCUUCGGGUUGUAAAGCACUUUUAUCUGGAACGAAACACGCAGGGUGAAUAUCCCUGCGGACUGACGGUACCAGAGGAAUAAGCACCGGCUAACUUCGUGCCAGCAGCCGCGGUAAUACGAAGGGUGCAAGCGUUACUCGGAAUUACUGGGCGUAAAGCGUGCGUAGGUGGUUUCUUAAGUCUGCUGUGAAAGCCCCGGGCUCAACCUGGGAAUUGCAGUGGAUACUGGGAAGCUAGAGUGCGGUAGAGGGUAGUGGAAUUCCCGGUGUAGCGGUGAAAUGCGUAGAGAUCGGGAGGAACACCAGUGGCGAAGGCGGCUACCUGGACCAGCACUGACACUGAGC
rnacentral:rRNA from 1 species